AGACAGAUUUACCUUCAGUAGGCUGGCCCACAACAGGUUACUGCAUGGCUGUCGUCAGCUCGUGUCGUGAGAUGUUGGGUUAACUCCCUGCAAUUAGCGCAACCUCGCCCUUAGUUGCCAGCAUUUAGUUGGGCACUCUAAGGGGACUGCCGGUGAUAAGCCGAGAGGAAGGUGGGGAUGACGUCAAGUCCUCAUGGCCCUUACGGGCUGGGCUACACACGUGCUACAAUGGUGGUCGACAGUGGGCAGCGAGACAGGGAUGUCGAGCUNUUCUCCAAAAGCCAUCUCAGUUCGGAUCUGCACUCUGCAACUCGAGUGCAUCGAAGUCUGGAAUCGCUAGUCAAUCGCAGAUCACGCAUGCUGCGGUGAAUCACGUCCCC
rnacentral:rRNA from 1 species